rnacentral:rRNA from 1 species
ACGGAAGGCAGCAGUGGGGAAUAUUGCACAAUGGGGGAAACCCUGAUGCAGCGACGCCGCGUGAGUGAAGAAGUAUUUCGGUAUGUAAAGCUCUAUCAGCAGGAAAGAAAAUGACGGUACCUGACUAAGAAGCCCCGGCUAACUACGUGCCAGCAGCCGCGGUAAUACGUAGGGGGCAAGCGUUAUCCGGAUUUACUGGGUGUAAAGGGAGCGUAGACGGCUUUGCAAGUCUGAAGUGAAAGCCCGAGGCUCAACCCCGGAACUGCUUUGGAAACUGUUAAGCUAGAGUGCAGGAGAGGUAAGUGGAAUUCCUAGUGUAGCGGUGAAAUGCGUAGAUAUUAGGAGGAACACCAGUGGCGAAGGCGGCUUACUGGACUGUAACUGACGUUGAGGCUCGAAGGCGUGGGGAGCAAACAGGAUUAGAUACCCUGGUA